rnacentral:rRNA from 1 species
GAUGAACGCUGGCGGCGUGCCUAAUACAUGCAAGUCGAGCGAACAGACGAGGAGCUUGCUUCUCUGACGUUAGCGGCGGACGGGUGAGUAACACGUGGAUAACCUACCUAUAAGACUGGGAUAACUUCGGGAAACCGGAGCUAAUACCGGAUAAUAUAUUGAACCGCAUGGUUCAAUAGUGAAAGACGGUUUUGCUGUCACUUAUAGAUGGAUCCGCGCCGCAUUAGCUAGUUGGUAGGGUAACGGCUUACCAAGGCAACGAUGCGUAGCCGACCUGAGAGGGGGAGCGGGCACCAGGGGAUUAGGGGCCGGUCCAGGACUCGACGGGGGGCAAGAGUAGGGAAUCUUCCGGAAGGGGGGAAAGCCUGAAGGGGCAACGCCGGCUGAGGGAGGAAGGUCUUCGGAUUGUAAAACUCCUUUUUUAGGGAAAAAAAAAUGGGGAAGGAACUAGGGCCGUUUUGACGGUUCCUUAACGAAAAGCCAGGGCUAAACACG